GUUUUUAUAGUUGAAUAACAACAUCAGUUUUUCGUAUUGAAGGUUCUGGUUAUCCAGAUAAUAAUU
rnacentral:tRNA from 1 species